rnacentral:lncRNA from 1 species
GACGAGGAUGGUAGGGAAACGACGGUCGGCUUCCAAGCUUCAGAUCAAUACCUUGAUCGGCCGGUGGAGUUGCCGGGAUCAUGAAAUCCAACUGGGUCACGUUCGUGGGUCGGGUCGGGUUUGCGGUUUUUGAGCUAAAUCGACGGCGUUCUUGUUGGUUUUCGGCGGCAAGGAUGGCAGGGAAACGAGGGCUGGCUUCCAAGCUUCAGAUCAAUACCUUGAUUGGCCGGUAGAGUGGCCGGGAUCGUGAAAUCCAACCGGAUCACGUUCGCGGGUCGGGUUCGUGGGUCAAAUUGGGGCAACCUCUCUCCCUUCUCAUCUCCUCAUCCACUCACAAAGCGCCACACCACGGCUCCCCUUAGCCAGGUUGUUGCUGCUGGAAUUUUUUUGCUGGAAGUGUUACUGGAAUUUUUUUUGCUGAAAGUGUUAUUGGUGCUGGAAUUGAUGCUGGAGUUGUUGCUGCUGGAAUUUUUUUUUUUUUUUUUGUGUUUGUGUGUUUUUGUUUGUCUCUGUUUCUAUUCCUGUCUCAACUACAAGCUUCUAUAAUAAGUGUUUGGCCUCGGCACAAAAUCAAUGUUUGUAAUAGAGAUAAUCAAUAAAAGUCAGUUCAGUUUUCCAAUUUUGUCAGUUUGGCCUGGGCACAAAAUUUUUUAUGUUCUGAUUUAUUUUCGAAACAGAGCAGAGCUCACAACGUGCUGACCAGCUGAAAUGAAUUGAAGCAAAGCAGAGCGACAUCGUUUGAUGAAAAGGGAAUGCUCACACGGUGCUAAGCUGAAAUUAAGAGGAAAAAGG